AUUAUGCAAAGCCUAUGCAUAAUAUUAACCUAUAAUAUUAAGCCCAUGCAAAUUGCCCAUGAUCAUUGUUUCACUUAUGUACAGGUAUGGCCUGUUUAAUUUUGUUAAGUCUAUUGUUAUUAUCUUGCCCGUUGCUUUUAUAUUCCUUCCAUUUAUAUCACGUUUUCUUAACCUAAUUUAUUCAUCACUUAAACCUAACCCUAGCCGUCAAUUUUAUCUCAAAACCUCUAAAACAUCGCUGUUCAAAUCAUCCUCUUUAUGCUCGUGAAAUUAGCGUUAUAUUUGGAUCCGUCUUGUCCCUGUGAUACUAGACUCACGCCUCUACGAUUCUCAACUUCGUUUUCUCAUUCGACUCUUCGACUACUCGCGCUCCGGAGUCGAAACAGGGUUAGCUGUUUGCCAAGAUCACGUGGAUAAGCAAGCUGGUUAUGAUCUGAGAGAGUCUGGUGAUCUCCGCAUUUACUUUUCCUCGGAGGUUCCAUUUAUUUUUAUAAACUGUCAAACUAUUUUAUUCUUAGACCGCAGUAGUUGACUAGACGUCUUUAUUAUUGUUACAGUUGUAUGUCGGAUUGGUCUGACUGGUUAUAUUGCUCUGGCAUGUUAUGUAUUUAUUUCGGAUUAUUUAUGUUAUGCCUAUUUUAGACCCGGAAUUGAAUAAGUAUGUUAUAUUAACUGUUGAUUAUCAUAACUGCUAGUUUAGGCUGAAGUCUCGGUUGCCCCCGAGCAUUGGUUUUCUGCAGGUUUAUGUAUUUAUGAAUUAAAUGAA